rnacentral:lncRNA from 1 species
CUUUUGUCCAUGAUCAAAUGUGGUGGUUCACAACCUUUUCUUUUCAUGGAAAGAGUUGGAGACAACACAUUUAAUAAAUGUUUUUAUGAUAAUUAAUAAAUAAAUGGAAUAAUAGAUUUGGGAUUGACAUAUCCCAAAAGAACCGAUUAUCAAUUUUCAUGAUGUUGAUAUGGUAAGACUGUACGCCAUUCAUUAUCUAUUAACGAUAUUUUUAGUUCAUUGGUCAAGGUACCAAUGCUUCAACUUAUAUGUACUAAGUAGAUGUAGUGAAAGUUAGAAUAAUUAGAAGGUUUAACCUAUUGGUUAGUCAACCUUCUCUAUAUAUAUGUGUAUGGCAAUAUACAAUAGUAAUGGUGGAGGUUACUACACAAGAAUAUGACUACAAUAUUUUCUAUAUAUAAUAUUUCCUAUAUAGGUACAUUUUAUAAUAUGC